rnacentral:rRNA from 1 species
GAGAAUGGACGAGGUAGGCGGAAUAAGUUAAGUAGCGGUGAAAUGCAUAGAUAUAACUUAGAACUCCGAUAGCGGAGGCAGCUUACCAGACCAUAACUGACGCUGAUGCACGAGAGCGUGGGUAGCGAACAGGAUUAGAUACCCUGGUAGUCCACGCCGUAAACGAUGCUCACCGGCCCUUAGCGAUAAGACAGUUAGGGGUUAAUUGAAAGAAUUAAGUGAGCCACCUGGGGAGUACGUCGGCAACGAUGAAACUCAAAGGAAUUGACGGGGGCCCGCACAAGCGGAGGAACAUGUGGUUUAAUUCGAUGAUACGCGAGGAACCUUACCUGGGUUUAAAUGUAUGUUGCAUAAUCUGGAAACAGUUUUUCUCUUCGGAGCUAUAUACAAGGUGCUGCAUGGUUGUCGUCAGCUCGUGCCGUGAGGUGUCGGGUUAAGUCCCAUAACGAGCGCAACCCUUACCGUUAGUUGUUAACAUGUAAUGAUGAGCACUCUAGCGGGACUGCCACCGUAAGGUGAGAGGAAGGGGGGGAUGACGUCAAAUCAGCACGGCCCUUACAUCCAGGGCGACACACGUGUUACAAUGGCCAUAACAGCGGGUAGCUACCGGGCGACCGGAUGCAAAUCUCGAAAGACUCUCUCAGUUCGGAUUGGAGUCUGCAACCCGACUCCAUGAAGCUGGAUUCGCUAGUAAUCGCGCAUCAGCCACGGCGCGGUGAAUACGUUCCCGGGCCUUGUACACACCGCCCGUCAAGCCAUGAAAGCCGGGGGUACAAGAAGUGCGUAACCGCAAGGAGCGCCCUAGGGUAAAACUG